UCAUGCAGGAUUGUUGCAUCGUGUGCCAUCUUGGAGUACCACAGAAAGUCCCUACAAGCAAGAAGUCUCUCACCAGAUACACCCCCUCAACAUUGGACUUCACAGCCUCCGUAACUAUCGUCGGCUCUUCCUUCUCUACCCUGUUGUUUUUCUGA
rnacentral:lncRNA from 1 species